UCUUUGCUCCUGGUGCUCCCUCCUCUCUACACUGAUUGAGAUUGAUGGUGGCACUGUCCAAUCAGCUUCUUGCUGAUGCUACACUGCCUCCCCAUGGGAGAGCUUCGUGUUGCUUAGAGAAAACACAGACAGGCUGCAGGUUUGAGGAUUUUUUUUUCAAGAUUACCUGCUGGAAAUGUGAUCCUGGCCUGCUAGUUUUUAUCCGCCCAAUGACUGAUCCGGUCACAACGGUUUGUGUCCUUCUUGGGAGUCCUGUCUGAAAAAGGAUCCUUCAGAGAGAGGGAGUGCUGAAGAACUCCUGCAGCACCCAUUCGUCACCCAACUGCCACCUAAGAAGAUCAUCAGGGCUGAGAUUGGAGAACAUCUCCGGACUCUGCAGAACCAGCCGGCAGAAGAAAGGACUGAAGGGACCCUGAAACAGCUGGGGCGUGCACAGACAUCAGCAGAACAAGAAGCAGCUCUGCAAAUGGCCCUGGAGGGCUUCUCCUGUUAUUGAUCUUGUGGCCAAUAACAUCAACAGCCCAGAAUGCACUGAUUUAGGCUGGGUGCCAGCACAGUCCAGUCAGCUCAGAAGAGGGAUUAUCCUGGGCUUGUGCUGUGCCAGGGACAUUAUCAUACAUGGGCCAAUAUCUAGGGUUGUACAAUAUCUGGCUGUACAGAAAGAGGAGGGACAAUGAGGGGGUGGUUCAGGAGAAAAUAUGGUCAAUAUGGGAGUGGGGGAUUAUAGGAAGAAGGGAAAGAAGCGGAGCUGGAGGCAAGGAUUGGGGAGGGACAGGACAGGGGUGGUACAUCAGGGAAUUAUAUAUUUAUGAGCAAAUACAUUGCUGGUUAAAUGUGUAACAAUGGUCCCAGUCUCAGCUGCUAUAUUACUGGUUAGGCUGGUGAUACGCCAACCCCAUUCAUAUCUGAUUAAAACUCAGCCAUAUGUGUCUGGGCAGGUUUGAAAUGGACCCUUGACUGAAGUAGCCACUGAUCAGCUCCCUGCUCUUGUACUGUCCAUUGGCCAGACUAGUCCACCUAGCUUAUUUCUAGUCCACCUAGCAUAUUUCUAUUCCACCGAGCAUAUUUCGGGUAUCAGAUCUAAGCAGGAAAAAGAUUCAAUCAGUAAAUCCAAACACAAUGUAUAGAUCUAUAUAUUCAGUAGGACAUGUGGCAGGGGGUUGGGAUCUGAUAAUGAAACAAAUGGACACACAUUGAAACAUCAUACAAAAUAGUUUGUUUUUAUCUAUUUUUUUGUACAAAACAAAACUAAUGACAUUAUUGUGAAUUCUACGCUGAAUUAUAAACACGGGGCCUGGUUUCCAUCUGUAUAUAACUGAGCAGCUUUACGCCCAUA